rnacentral:rRNA from 1 species
AUUGAACGCUGGCGGCAGGCUUAACACAUGCAAGUCGAGCGAGCGGCGGACGGGUGUGUAAUGUCUGGGAAACUGCCGGAUGGGGGGGGAUAACUACUGGAAACGGUAGCUAUUACCGCAUACCAUCGGAUGUGCCCAGAUGGGAUGAUAGAGGAUGUGGGGUAAAGGCUCACCUAAGCGACGAUCCCUAGCUUGUCUGAGAUGAUGACAAGCCACAUGUGAGCGGAGACACGGUACAGUCUCCUACGGGAGGCAGCGGUGGAGAAUAUUGCACAGUGCACGGAAGGCUGACGUCGCCAAGCCGCGUGUAUGAAGAGGGGCUGCGGGUUGUGGAGGACUUUUUGCGAGGAAGCGUUACUCUCAGAAGAAGCACCGGCUAACUCCGUGCCAGCAGCCGCGGUAAUAC